UACGAAGGGGGCGUAGCGUUGUUCGGAAUUACUGGGCGUAAAGCGCACGUAGGCGGAUAUUUAAGUCAGGGGUGAAAUCCCAGAGCUCAACUCUGGAACUGCCUUUGAUACUGGGUAUCUUGAGUAUGGAAGAGGUAAGUGGAAUUCCGAGUGUAGAGGUGAAAUUCGUAGAUAUUCGGAGGAACACCAGUGGCGAAGGCGGCUCUCUGGGCAGAUACCGACGCUGAGACGCGAAAGCGUGGGAAGCAAACA
rnacentral:rRNA from 1 species